UACGAAGGGGGCUAGCGUUGUUCGGAAUCACUGGGCGUAAAGGGCGCGUAGGCGGCGUGACAAGUCACUUGUGAAAUCUCCGGGCUUAACUCGGAACGGUCAAGUGAUACUGUCGUGCUAGAGUACAGAAGGGGCAACUGGAAUUCUCGGUGUAGCGGUGAAAUGCGUAGAUGUCGAGAGGAACACCUGCGGCGAAGGCGGGUUGCUGGGCUGAUACUGACGCUGAGGCGCGAAAGCCAGGGGAGCGAACGGG
rnacentral:rRNA from 1 species